AAGCGUUAUCCGGAAUUAUUGGGCGUAAAGCGUUUGUAGGCGGGCGAGUGUGUUUAAUGUUAAAUCUUAAAGCUCAACUUUGAAAUUGCGUUAAAAACUGCUUGUCUUGAGUAUGGUAGGGGUAAAGGGAAUUCCCAGUGUAGCGGUGAAAUGCGUAGAUAUUGGGAAGAACACUAAACAGCGAAGGCACUUUACUAGGCUAAUACUGACGCUGAGAAACGAAAGGUAAGGUAGCGAAACGGAUUAGAUACCCGUGUAGUCUUACCCGUAAACUAUGGACACUAAACGGUAAAUUUUUAAUUUACUGUUAAAGCUAACGCGUUAAGUGUCCCGCCUGGGGAGUAUGCUUGCAAAAGUGAAACUCAAAGGAAUUGACGGGGGCCCGCACAAGCGGUGGAGCAUGUGGUUUAAUUCGACGGUACACGAAGAACCUUACCAGGAUUUGACAUGCUAGAUAGUUGCUUGAAAGAGUAACGUGCCGUAAGGAAUCUAGACACAGGUGGUGCAUGGCUGUCGUCAGUUCGUGUUGUGAAAUGUUGGGUUAAGUCCCGCAACGAACGGAACCCUUGUCUUUAGUUAUUUUCUAAAGAGACUGCCUGUAAUAAACAGGAGGAAGGUAAGGAUGAGGUCAAGUCAUCAUGCCCCUUAUGUCCUGGGCUACACACGUGCUACAAUGGGAAAGACAAUGAGCUGCAAAUCUGUAAAUUUAAGCAAAUCUCUUAAACUUUCUCGUAGUUCGGAUUGUGGGCUGCAACUCGCCCACAUGAAGUUGGAAUCGCUAGUAAUCGCCAGUCAGCUAUAUGGCGGUGAAUCCGUUCCCGGGCCU
rnacentral:rRNA from 1 species